rnacentral:rRNA from 1 species
GAUGAACGCUGGCGGCGUGCCUAAUACAUGCAAGUCGAGCGAACAGAUGAGGAGAUUGCUCCUCUGACGUUAGCGACGGACGGGUGAGUAACACGUGGAUAACCUACCUAUAAGACUGGGAUAACUUCGGGAAACCGGAGCUAAUACUGGACAAUAUAUUGAACCGCAUGGUUAUAUAGUGAAAGUCGGUAUUGCUGUCACUUAUAGAUGGAUCCGCGCCGCAUUUGCUCGUUGGGAAGGUAACGGCUUACCAAGGCAACGAUGCGUAGCCGACCUGAGAGGGGGGUCGGCCACGCUAGAACGGGAACGCGGUCCAGACUCCAACGGUAGGCAGCAGAGGGGAAUCUACCGCAAGGGGCGAAAGCCUAACGGAACAACGCCGCGUGAGUUAUGAGGGUCUUCGGAUCGUAAAACUCUGUUAUUAUGGAAGAACAAAUGUGUAAGUAACUAUGCACUACGUGACGGUACCUAAUCAGAAAGCCACGGCUAACUACGUG